UCCUGGUUAACCCAGGCGGUCCCGAUAGAGUGCUCAGCAUGACCUGAUGGCAACUAUCGGCAGGGGUUGCGCUCGUUGCGGGACUUAACCCAACACCUCACGGCACGAGCUGACGACAGCCGUGCAGCACCUGUGUACGCUCCGGGGAAAACCCCGGUCCUUCACCUUUCGGAUCCGUACCACGUACAUGUCAAACCCAGGUAAGGUUCUUCGCGUAGCAACGAAUUAAACCGCAUCAUCCACCGCUUGUGCGGGGCCCCGUCAAUUCCUUUGAGUUUUAGCCUUGCGGCCGUAGUCCCCAGGCGGUACACUUACCGCGUUAGCUGCGGCACUGACCAUUGCCAAUACCUAGUGUACAUCGUUUACGGCUAAGACUAC
rnacentral:misc_RNA from 1 species